UACGGGGGGAGCAAGCGUUGUUCGGAUUUACUGGGCGUAAAGGGCGCGUAGGCGGUCGUGACAAGUCACUUGUGAAAUCUCCGGGCUUAACCGGGAGGGUGCGGUGAAUACUGAGGGACUAGAGUACGGGAGAGGAAAGUGGAAUUCCUGGUGUAGCGGUGAAAUGCGUAGAUAUCAGGAGGAACACCGGUGGUGUAGACGGCUUUCUGGACCGUAACUGACGCUGAGACACGAAAGCGUGGGUAGCAAACAGG
rnacentral:rRNA from 1 species